UGGGGAAUAUUGGACAAUGGGCGAAAGCCUGAUCCAGCCAUGCCGCGUGAGUGAAGAAGGCCUUCGGGUUGUAAAGCUCUUUUAGUCGGAAAGAAAGAGUUGCAAUGAAUAAUUGUGAUUUAUGACGGUACCGACAGAAAAAGCACCGGCUAACUACGUGCCAGCAGCCGCGGUAAUACGUAGGGUGCGAGCGUUAAUCGGAAUUACUGGGCGUAAAGGGUGCGCAGGCGGUUUUGCAAGUCAGAUGUGAAAGCCCCGGGCUUAACCUGGGAAUUGCGUUUGAAACUGCAAGACUAGAGUGCAGCAGAGGGGAGUGGAAUUCCAUGUGUAGCAGUGAAAUGCGUAGAGAUGUGGAAGAACACCGAUGGCGAAGGCAGCUCCCUGGGUUGACACUGACGCUCAUGCACGAAAGCGUGGGGAGCAAACA
rnacentral:rRNA from 1 species